AUAUUAUGAUGAAAACAUUUUGCCAGUUCUGCUUCUGAUUGUUCAGAGAAGACACCUUACCACUUCUGAGGC